GUACCUAAAUAGUCGAUAAUUAAUUUAGUAAAAAAACUUAAAAGAACAGCCUAUAAAUUUAAGAAGGAAAAAUUACUGAACAAAACAUCAAACUAUAUUGCUAUAAAAUACUACAUCAACACAACUUGAAAGAAUAGCCUAUAAACAAAAUAAGGAAAAAUUUCCUAUAGAAAUGUCAGUGGCUGAAAUACAUAUGACUACUAUAACAGCACCAUAAUGUUUCUCUCAAUGAACAACAACAACAUGAACUAAUUAUUCUUAUACGUGACACAUCAGCUAGUAACUUAGUUUAGUAAUGUUUUUGUCCCUUCGACCUUUUGUCCAUUCGGCCUUUUGUCCCUUCGACCUUUUGUCCAUUCGACCUUUUGUCCUUCGACCUUCUGUCCUAAAGCCAUCAAAAUAUGCUUUUAUUGAGCUAUUUCACUCUGCUCGGGUUUACACUAAGUGUAAGUCUUCUCUCGGUUGGUAGUGAAUGUUCUGUUCUAGUCGCUCCAUCACGAAUGGUGGUUUGUUAUCUGCUAUUUGAUGUAUGGAAAAGCAGUUUUUUUUUAUGUGAUUCACUCGCAAUUAAUAUAUGUAUUAUCAAAUAUUGCUGCUUGACAUAGACCUUAGAAAACGAAAAUAAAGGGCAUUUAAGAACCUCAAAAGUGGGUAACUUUGCAAAUGUAGCAGGGGGCUGAACCCGAUUCAAAUCUUGCAUGCUGUACUAUUUUGUGCUUGUAUGGUUAACUUAUUCGCAAAUAAAAUAUGAGACUAUUCACCAGGCCAGUUGUUCAAGAGAACCGUAAUCCGGAAAUACUUUGUAAAAAAUAUUGAAUAUUUCUCCAGUGGUAAUUGUGAUAACUCAAGUCAAGUUUAUGUUACAAUACCUGUUAAGAUUAGAAAUAUUUCAACACAAUAUUCAAAUUUAAACUUCGCUAUAGAAUCCAGCUUCUACCAUAAUUGCGUAUUGCAACGCACUCUCACAUUCUAUUGUGUAAAAACGCACUCGCAUUCCAUAAGCUAAUUAGGCGAUUUUGUGCUUCCUGCUUUUUCACUAUCGCCCAACCAGACCCGUCACCAGCACAGUAGUGUAGAUAGCCAUAGUUAUAAUAAAGCAACCAUAGUGAACUGACCCAUACAUGCAAUAAAGUGCCUUCUCGUGCAAAUAAAUUCGGGUUUACGAUCAGUAAUCGCGUCGUUGUUUGUGGUAAAGUAAUCUACCGAAAUUUACGCCCGUGAUUUUGACCCCGUACAGAACAUUUUGAUGCCGUGACCAGGAUCACGGGUAUGUGAAUAUCACUUUCUGGAUCGUGUACUUCGACGCUAACACCUAACCCCAUCACCGGUCGAAAGUAUUUCCCAAAGGAUUGCAGUACCGUACAUAAUACAAGGCCUGUUUUUGGACAGGUACAUUCCAUUUCUGGUGUGAUUGCUGCUGGGAGACACGAGGUUGUUGCUGCUGCUGCAGUGAUAUGAUAAAUAGUACCACCGCCGGUGCUAAAGUGAAUUCAAUUAUCCAAUCAUUGGUCUGCUGAGCCGCUUUGUAUGCAGCGGAUAGUCCACGUCCGUGGAUCAACAUCGUGUUCGAGGUUCCUGCUAUUAAUAUAACACAAGGCCUGUCUUUGGACAGGCGCAGGUGAGUGUCUGUCCAAGUGUUUUAUACCUCCCCCUUCGGUACUUCCUGGGUCCUCCCGAUCAUUACAGCUCCCAUUUGGAAGUCGUCCAGCGCACACAAUGUCGGAGAAGAAGAGGAAGCAGAAGGAGCUCAAGCGUCGGAACAUCAUGGACUCGAUCGCCCGCAUCGAUGAGUUCCUGACCAACUUCAAUCCCGAACGAGACACCAAGGAGGUAGAGAUACGAUUGGCUAGAUUGGACAAGCUGAUGGAGAACUUCGAGGACAUUGAAGGUGAAUAGGAUACUGUUUGUGGAGAAAUUUAUUCACAAAUACUUCAGAAAUACAUGCACGAGCUUCUGUAGCAAUCCUUAAAGAAAUAUCCCAAAUAAUGAAAUUUGUGAG